UACGAAGGGGGCUAGCGUUGUUCGGAAUCACUGGGCGUAAAGCGCACGUAGGCGGAUUGUUAAGUCGGGGGUGAAAUCCUGAGGCUCAACCUCAGAACUGCCUUCGAUACUGGCAAUCUCGAGUCCGGAAGAGGUUGGUGGAACAGCUAGUGUAGAGGUGAAAUUCGUAGAUAUUAGCUAGAACACCAGUGGCGAAGGCGGCCAACUGGUCCGGUACUGGACGCUGAGGUGCGGAAAGCGUGGGGAGCAACAGGGAUUAAGAAACCCCGGUGAGUCCCAGAACCAACCGUA
rnacentral:rRNA from 1 species